rnacentral:tRNA from 1 species
UAGUAAGAAGCAAAAAUUUUUGCAUUUAGUUUCGACCUAAAAAUUUAGUUAUUAACUCUACUAUUUACAAA